UACGAAUGGAGCGAGCGUUGUUCGGAAUCAUUGGGCGUAAAGCGUAUGUAGGCGGAUAUGAAAGUCAGAAGUGAAAUCCCAGGGCUCAACCCUGGAACUGCUUUUGAAACUCCAUAUCUAGAAUCCCGGAGGGGUGAGGGGAAUUCCGAGUGUAGAGGUGAAAUUCGCAGAUAUUCGGAGGAACACCAGAGGCGUAGGCGCCUCACUGGACGGGUAUUGACGCUGAGAUACGAAAGCGUGGGGAGCAAACAGG
rnacentral:rRNA from 1 species